rnacentral:rRNA from 1 species
UAGCGGCGGACGGGUGAGUAACACGUGGGUAACCUGCCCUGUACAGCGGGAUAGCCAUCCGAAAGGAUGAUUAAUACCGCAUAAUUCACCACCACGACAUCGUGAUGGUGGCAAAGGAGCAAUCCGGUAUGGGAUGGACCCGCGGCCCAUUAGCUAGUUGGUGAGAUAACAGCCCACCAAGGCGACGAUGGGUAGCCGAUCUGAGAGGAUGACCGGCCACAUUGGAACUGAGACGCGGUCCAGACUCCUACGGGAGGCAGCAGUGGGGAAUAUUGCGCAAUGGGGGAAACCCUGACGCAGCAACGCCGCGUGAGUGAUGAAGGCCUUCGGGUCGUAAAGCUCUGUCUUUUGGGACGAAUAAUGACGGUACCAAAGGAGGAAGCCACGGCUAACUACGUGCCAGCAGCCGCGGUAAUACGUAGGUGGCGAGCGUUGUCCGGAAUUACUGGGCGUAAAGGGUGCGUAGGCGGGAUAAUAAGUCAGAUGUGAAAUUCCGGGGCUUAACUUCGGAACUGCAUUUGAAACUGAUAUCCUAGAGUGCA